CUUUCAAGGAAAUCUCUGAAUUUCAACUAAACUUAAAACAAUAUUUUCAUAUAUUCAUGCUUUAGGUUGUUAGUUUACAUUGGAAUUGUUAAUUUUGGGGAAUUUUGGUAAAUUCUCAUUCAUAAAUUAAAAGAAAUUAAGCAAAUAGCCUCAGUGAAGAUUUAAAGCAAUUAUUGUUUUCAGUGAGUUUAAAGAAGAAACACAUAUAUUGGCACAUGAUAUUUUUAAGACCAGUAAAUGAUUAAUCACAUAACUUUAGUUUAUUCUCCUAUAAAUAGCACAUAAUAGAUCCUAGAUGAAUACUUGCCAAAUGUAAUUAUAGACAGGAAUUUCCUGGUGCAAAUUGGACACGGAAUUGCAAAGCUUUUGCACAUUUUUAACUUAAGCUGACAGUUACAUAUUGAUUAUUGUAGUGUAUAUAUGUAUGUAUAUAUGUAUGUGUGUGCAUGUAUGUGUAUAUAAUGCAUAUUUCUAAACAAAGCCAUUUUAGUUUGUGACUGCUGUUAAAUUGUAUAAAUGUUCUCAUGUGUCUCAAGAGCACUUUAAGCCAAGAAGAACUUUCAGACAUUCCAUUUACUUUCAGACCAGGUAUUUAUUUCCUGCAGCUGCUUAAGUGUGGUGGUAUUCUGUGAAAUAAAGCACAAGGAACCAAAUCUCUGUCCUUGCCCGUCACAUUGGAUAAAAACCCGCAAUGAACAUUUUCAUGUGCUUUGAGUAGGGAGAGGCACUGAGAAGAAACUCAUUUGCAGGCUACAGGCCUUUUCUGGGGAGCCUGAUCCAGUGGCAGAGGUGUCAGUCUGUUGCCACAGUGUCAUCCUAGCCAUGUGGUCUGCACUGAAGAAAUCUUGUGGGCCAUUACCUUGUGUGGGAUGCAAAUAUUUGCGACAAAGGAGUCACUCUGCAUGUUCUAAAAAGCUAUCUAUAUUAUCUGGGCAUAGCUUUAGGGCAAUCAAAUUGGUUUUAAGGUGGUGUGAAAUGCACCAAGUAGACAUUGAAAAUUGAAAAAAAAUACUAAAAGAAUGUGUGUUUAUAUUGUUUUAGGCUUUUUUACCCCAAAGAAAACAAGAAAGUGAACACAACUUUGUGCAUAUCUCACUUUAGAAUUUUGUUUCUGUUAUUAAAAAUUCCACAUAUAAUUUGCAAUUUACUACAUAAUGACCAAUAGAGAGUCCACCAAUAACUUCCAUAAAUGUUCCAAAUGGAAAUAUAUUUGUUCUGAUUUUUGGAAGUGAAUAGUACAAAACAUUUUAACAGAUUCACCAGUUUGAUUGAAUGAAGCUCUGUUUUAAAAUUCACAGAUACAUCUUCAGUGUAACUGAGUAUCUCUUUGCAUUGGGUAAAGUAGUGCACAUGCAGUUUCACAUACUAUUGCAGCAUAGGAUUUCUGGAGAUUACGUUCUAGGCAAGUGAUAAACAUGUCACAGAUAUUUUUAGUGUCUGCAUUUAAAAAAUGAGAUAAAAUUGCAUAUGGGCUUUAGGAUUAUGAAUAUAAAGACAGAGAAUGCGGACUCAUAAUUAGCUGUGGGUACAUCCAAAAACAUCAGGAUUUUUAUGAUGGGUUCAGUUAGGUGAUAGAAAAAUGCCCUUUAAAAUUUUUUUCUAGAGAUAGAAAGUUGCUUUUAUCUGGAUAGCUAAAGUGGAAAAUUCCUAAAUAGUAAUACACACACAUAUGGAUAUAUUUGUGUUAUGUAACAAGUUGUCCUGUUUGUUCACAUUAGUACUUAAAAAGAUAAACCUGCUUUAGUUUUGGGCCUAAUUUGAGCUUAGAACCUAAGUAAGAGCACUUGUUAAACAUAUAUGGUGAGCUGUUGUGAAAACUGUUGCUAGCUUUACCUAUACCACCAUUGCUCCAAAUUAACUGUUCAGGAUCAGAGUGUAAAGACCAGGAAUGUAUAUUUUCUUGCUCCCUCAUCUGGGUGUUAGAAUUUAUCACCUGGUAAAUAAUGUUGGACUUCAACUUGUUUUUGAC
ensembl:lncRNA